rnacentral:RNase_P_RNA from 1 species
UAAGCAGGCUGUUCUAUCGUUCCAGACUUGUUUUGGUAAGGAAAGUCCGGGCAACACAGAGCACCAUACUUCCUAACCGGAAGAUACUUGCAAAGGUAUAGUAGUGUAACAGAAAACAACCGUCUCAAUUUAUUGGGAUAAGGGUGAAAAGGUGAGGUAAGAGCUUACCGGUAUUCCAAGCGAUUGGGAUAGCCGUACAUCUUAUGGGUUGAAAAACCAAAUAUAUUAGCAAUUGAGGGCUGCUCGCCUGAUGCUAAGGGGUAGGUUGAUAGAGCUAAGUGGCAACAUUUAGCCCAGACAAAUGAUAGAAAUCCCGAUAUUUCGGGAUACAGAACCCGGCUUAUAAGCCUGCUUAUUUU